rfam:Myotis lucifugus cont2.32210, whole genome shotgun sequence.
GGCGGUUCAUGGGUGACACCCUGGAACCAGGCUCCCUCCUCUCUGGUUCCGGGUGCAUCACCGAAGAACCACA